rnacentral:tRNA from 1 species
AGGGGUGUAGCUCAAUGGGAGAGCAGCGGACUUUGAUUCCGCAGGCUGCUGGUUCAAGUCCAGCCGCCCUUGCCA